UUCAACGGCCGCGGUAUCCUAACCGUGCAAAGGUAGCAUAAUAACUUGCCUAUUAAUUAUAGGAUAGAAUGAAAGGGUAAACGAAAUAGGAGCUGUCUCUAUUAGCCCAAUGAAAAUUAUUUUUUAACUGAAGAAAGUUAAAUUCAACUGAAGGACAAGAAGACCCUAUAGAGCUUAAUUUAACCUACUAAAUAAGUAAAAAUUAAAUUCGGUUGGGGCGACCGAUGCUCUACAAAUCAUCACCCACAAAAAGAAAUAUACAUCUCAAAAAAGACCCUGACCCAGAUCAAAAAAACAAGCUACCUUAGGGAUAACAGGCUAAUCUCAUUAAUGAGUCCCCAUCUAUAAUGUUGGUUGGCACCUCGAUGUUGGCUUAGGGAAUCAAAAGGGCGCAGAAGCUUUUUAAGACGGUUUGUUCAACCAUUAAACCCCUA
rnacentral:rRNA from 1 species